GAUGAACGCUGGCGGCGUGCUUUAGGCAUGCAAGUCGAAUGGGAAAGUCGCAAGACAAUUCAAUGGCAGACGGGUGAGUAACGCGUAGAAAUCUACCUCUGGGUAGGGCAUAGCUGGCCGAAAGGUCAGGUAAUUCCCUAUAGUCUCGUAAGAGUAAAGGACUUAACGGUCCGCCGAGAGAGGAGCCUGCGUCCUAUCAGCUAGUUGGUGAGGUAAAGGCUCACCAAGGCGAUGACGGGUAGCUGGACUGAGAGGUCGAUCAGCCACAACUGCACUGAGACACGGGCAGUACACCUACGGGUGGCAGCAACCAGGAAUAUUGCGCAAUGGACGAAAGUCUGACGCAGCGACGCCGCGUGGAGGAAGACGGCCUUAGGGUUGUAAACUCCUUUUGCCAAGCCGUUCACAGCUUGGCGAAUAAGCCUCUACUAACUACGUGCCAGAAGUCUCGGUAAUACGUAGGAGGCAAGCGUUAUCCGGAUUUACUGGGCGUAAAGUGUGCGUAGGCUCCCCUUUAAGUCGUGUUUUAAAUACUAAGGCUUACCCUUAGAACUGAAUACGAUACUAUUG
rnacentral:rRNA from 1 species